GUGGGACUGUUAGAGGCAAAGUGGGGCGGGGCGUCCUCUUUCCGUAGGCGCCCAGGAUGUGCCUGGAAAAGGAAAUGAAGCCUAGGUUCCAGCAAAGUGGGACGUCUAUGUGCUGGGGUUGGAGACAGGCUAUUGUGGCAAGUGUCGUGGCAUGCUUCUGCCAACUUCCCAGUUAAAGGGUGACAUUUCUGCAGAAGCCUAUCCUGUUAGAAAUGUCCUUGCCACUUACGGAGGA
rnacentral:lncRNA from 1 species